UCCCUCUCAGGAUGGCACCUGGAGAGUUUCCAGUACUCUAUCAGUCUCAGCUACGGGAGGGAGAGUCCAACAGAGGUAUACGCAUUCCAUUCCUAGCUUGGGCAGUGGCUAGCAAGUGGAAGGCAAUAUGCUACAAGU